GCCAGACUCCUACGGGAGGCAGCAGUGGGGAAUAUUGCACAAUGGGCGCAAGCCUGAUGCAGCGACGCCGCGUGGGUGAAGGAGCACCUCGGUGCGUAAAGCCCUAUCGGCAGGGAAGAAGGAGGACGGUACCUGACUAAGAAGCCCCGGCUAACUACGUGCCAGCAGCCGCGGUAAUACGUAGGGGGCAAGCGUUAUCCGGAUUUACUGGGUGUAAAGGGGGCGCAGACGGCAGCGCAAGCCAGGAGUGAAAGCCCGGGGCCCAACCCCGGGACUGCUCUUGGAACUGCGCGGCUGGAGUGCAGGAGGGGCAGGCGGAAUUCCUGGUGUAGCGGUGAAAUGCGUAGAUAUCAGGAGGAACACCGGUGGCGAAGGCGGCCUGCUGGACUGCGACUGACGUUGAGGCCCGAAAGCGUGGGGAGCAAACAGGCUUAGAUACCCGCGUAU
rnacentral:rRNA from 1 species